rnacentral:rRNA from 1 species
UACAGAGGUCUCAAGCGUUGUUCGGAUUCAUUGGGCGUAAAGGGUGCGUAGGCGGCGCGGUAAGUCGGGUGUGAAAUCUCGGAGCUUAACUCCGAAACUGCAUUCGAUACUGCCGUGCUUGAGGACUGGAGAGGAGACUGGAAUUUACGGUGUAGCGGUGAAAUGCGUAGAUAUCGUAAGGAAGACCAGUGGCGAAGGCGAAUCUCUGGACAGUUACUGACACUGAGGCUCGAAGGCCAGGGGAGCAAACGGG